GAUGAACGCUGGCGGCGUGCCUAAUACAUGCAAGUCGAGCGAACAGACGAGAAGCUUGCUCCUCUGAUGUUAGCGGCGGACGGGUGAGUAACACGUGGAUAACCUACCUAUAAGACUGGGAUAACUUCGGGAAACCGGAGCUAAUACCGGAUAAUAUUUUGAACCGCAUGGUUCAAAAGUGAAAGACGGUCUUGCUGUCACUUAUAGAUGGAUCCGCGCUGCAUUAGCUAGUUGGUAAGGUAACGGCUUACCAAGGCAACGAUGCGUAGCCGACCUGAGAGGGUGAUCGGCCACACUGGAACUGAGACACGGUCCAGACUCCUACGGGAGGCAGCAGUAGGGAAUCUUCCGCAAUGGGCGAAAGCCUGACGGAGCAACGCCGCGUGAGUGAUGAAGGUCUUCGGAUCGUAAAACUCUGUUAUUAGGGAAGAACAAAUGUGUAAGUAACUAUGCACGUCUUGACGGUACCUAAUCAGAAAGCCACGGCUAACUACGUG
rnacentral:rRNA from 1 species